rnacentral:rRNA from 1 species
AACGAACGCUGGCGGCAGGCCUAACACAUGCAAGUCGAGCGAGACCUUCGGGUCUAGCGGCGGACGGGUGAGUAACGCGUGGGAAUAUGCCCUUCGGUUCGGAAUAGCCCCGGGAAACUGGGAGUAAUACCGGAUACGGUCUACGGACGAAAGAUUUAUCGCCGAAGGAUUAGCCCGCGUUGGAUUAGGUAGUUGGUGGGGUAAUGGCCUACCAAGCCGACGAUCCAUAGCUGGUUUGAGAGGAUGAUCAGCCACACUGGGACUGAGACACGGCCCAGACUCCUACGGGAGGCAGCAGUGGGGAAUAUUGCGCAAUGGGCGAAAGCCUGAUCCAGCAAUUCCGCGUGGGUGAAGAAGGUCUUCGGAUUGUAAAGCCCUUUCGUUGGGGACGAUGAUGACGGUACCCAAAGAAGAAGCCCCGGCUAACUCGUG